rnacentral:rRNA from 1 species
UACGUAGGGUGCAGGCGUUUAAUCGGAAUUACUGGGCGUAAAGCGUACGCAGGCGGUUUGCUAAGACAGGUGUGAAAUCCCCGGGCUUAACCUGGGAACUGCGCUUGUUACUGGCAAGCUAGAGUGUGGCAGAGGGGGGGUAGAAUUCCAGGUGUAGCAGUGAAAUGCGUAGAUAUCUGGAGGAAUACCGAUGGCGAAGGCAGCCCCCUGGGUUAACACUGACGCUCAUGUACGAAAGCGUGGGGAGCAAACAGG